AACGAACGCUGGCGGCAUGUCUAACACAUGCAAGUCGAACGAGACCUUCGGGUCUAGUGGCGCACGGGUGCGUAACGCGUGGGAACCUGCCCUUAGGUUCGGAAUAACUCCCCGAAAGGGGUGCUAAUACCGGAUAAUGCCUUCGGACCAAAGAUUUAUCGCCUUUGGAUGGGCCCGCGUUGGAUUAGCUAGUUGGUAGGGUAAAAGCCUACCAAGGCGACGAUCCAUAGCUGGUCUGAGAGGAUGAUCAGCCACACUGGGACUGAGACACGGCCCAGACUCCUACGGGAGGCAGCAGUGGGGAAUAUUGGACAAUGGGCGAAAGCCUGAUCCAGCAAUGCCGCGUGAGUGAUGAAGGCCUUAGGGUUGUAAAGCUCUUUUACCCGGGAUGAUAAUGACAGUACCGGGAGAAUAAGCUCCGGCUAACUCCGUG
rnacentral:rRNA from 1 species